rnacentral:rRNA from 1 species
GACGAACCGUGCGAACGUUGUUCGGAUUCACUGGGCUUAAAGGGCGCGUAGGCGGGCGGUCAAGUCCGGGGUGAAAUCUUCCGGCCCAACCGGAAAAUAGCCCGGGAUACUGGCCGCCUCGAGGGGGGUAGGGGCAUGCGGAACUUCCGGUGGAGCGGUGAAAUGCGUAGAUAUCGGAAGGAACGCCGGCGGCGAAAGCGGCGUGCUGGACCCCCCCUGACGCUGAGGCGCGAAAGCCAGGGGAGCGAACGGG